UGCAAUUGAAAGAUAUGAUGGAUACAUAUCAACACAUAGUUUCUCUUAAAACCCUAAAAACCAAUAGACCCACAAAACUAUUGUUUUCUCAAACUGCAAUAUUGAAAUUCUAAAUUAUCAUUGAUAUUUUCCGUGAGAUACCCGAGCAGGGAAUGACAACUAAUUGAAAACAAAUGGAGUUAUUUAGAUAUCACGAAUAUUGAUAACAAAAUGAGUUUUCAUUUUGUAUGACUUAGGUGUUAACAUAACAAAAAUGAUAACAAAAUAAUGUACUGGAAUAUCUAAUUGAAAACAGAAUGAGUUUUCAUUGAUAACAAAUUGAUAUCUUAUUUUGUUAUCCGCAUUUUACGGCUUUAUAUCAUACGCAGUUCUCAGGGAGUAAUUAAAUCCAUAGGGUAAUAACUAAAAAAUAAUAACAAAUUUAGUAUACAUUUUGAUAUUUCAUUAGGCAUUAAUUUACAUGAAUAAGUAAAUAUCUAAAUUAGAUUUUAUUUUAAAUUCGUAAGGAUCUUGUGAUUGAAAACGUGUUUUGUUUGAUACGAUAUCAUCAGGAUAUGGCACUCGGGACGAUCUACUUUUGGCAGAAAUGCAAUAUCUUCUUUGUUUUUAAACAUUUUAAACAUUUUUUUUAUAGUCAAGGGGAAUAGUUGUACCCUUUGCACCCUCCCCCCUUUUGCUGGUAGCCGAAAAUACGUGGAUUUUUUGUAUUUUUCAUAAAUUCUACAUGUUUUUACUCAAAUUUCAUCUUUUUGCUAAUCAUCAAUAGUUUUCACUGAUCCUUGACAUGCAAUGUAUUACUACCCAUCAUAGUCUGUUGAAGAUUUGAUCCCAGAGCCGUUCUAAGACCUCCAAAGUACUUCGAAGUUUGUGUCACAAGUCCAACAUCCUAUACCAAAUUUUAUACACGAUGAAACCUCACAGAACUCCUAGAAUAUUCAUGGUAAAUGAAUUGGAUGAUCUAGGUCAUCCAAAUUAUUCUGAAAUUCGCUUUCUUAAGAUCUACAACAUCUACCAUCAUUUGUGUUCACUCUGUUCAUGAAUUUUAGUCACGUUAAUGUCCAUUAGACCUCGCAAUGCUACGAGCAACUCGAUAUUGUGGUAGUUUGACAUUCUGUGAAAUACAAAUGGCCUCCAAAACACUUUGAAGUUUGGGUUACGAUAUCUACAUACUGUAUCAUGCUUUAAUGGCACACAUUUCCCAAAUGGAGGAGAACGUCCCUCUGGAGCCGACCUACUGAUGCUUUAAUUGUGAAAAAAUAUUCUUGGGAUGUAGCCUAUACUGCUGGUGGAGCCUCAGUGCACAACUAUAACGCUUUUGGUACAUUCAUGGGGUAUUCCAGGCUUUCCAAACUAUUUGGAAUUAGGAUCUUUAAGUUCUACAGGCUCUACACUUGUUUCUGUUCACUCUAUCGGCAUAAUUCUUUCACGAUUGUGCCUGUUGCACCUCAUAAUAUUGCGAGUAUCUCUAUGUGUUGCUAUUUGAGUGUCCACGGGUAUUCAAACAGACCCAAUGUAUUUUGAAGUAUGGGUCGCAAUAUCUGUAAAUCUUAUGAUAUUUUUAUUGUAGCGAAUGUUCGCCGAAUAUAAUCUUCGCUACUCUUAGAGCCAAAAAGUGCAAUUCUGAUAACUUAGCAACAUUCACUUGGUGAUCUAGGUCAUCCAAAUUAUUCUGGAAUUAAGACCUUCAAGCUUCAUAAGCUCUACUGAAUCUCUUUACUUUAUCGGUGUAGCUCCUCCAAAAAAUCCUUCAGAAAUUCUUCCAAGACUUUCGCCAAGAAUUCCUCAAAUAAUCUUCCCAGGUAUUCCUCCAAGAAAUCCUGGAAGAAUUCUUUUAGGAUUUUUUCAAGAAAUUCCUCGAAAAUUCUUCCAGAAGCUCCUCCAAGUAUUCUACCAGAAAUUCGAACAAUAAUCCCUCCAGGAAUUUCUCCAAGAAUUCCUUCAAGAAUGCCACCAGGAAUUUCUUCAAGAAUUUCUCCAGAUAUCACUCCAAAAAUUCUGCCAAAAAUUCCUCAAAGAAUCCCUCUAUGAAUUCCUCUAACAAUUUCUCCAGAAAUUUCUCAUAGACUUCUGCAUAGAAAUUGUCAUUCCUCCAGAAAUUCCUCCAAGAGUUUCACCAGGAAUUCCUCUAUGAUUUUUUUCCAAGAAGCUCUCAAGGAAUUUCUCUAGAAAAUCCUCAAAGAAUUUCUCCCGAAACCUCUGGGUAAUCGUCCAAAGAUUACUCCAGGGGUUCGUCCGAGAUUAUUUUCAGGCGUUUCUAGAUUUUUUUCCAGGAAUUCGUGAAUACAUUUUUCAAGGAAUUCCAACAGAAAUUACUUCAGGAAAUCCCCCAGGAACUUCAUCAGGAAUUCUUCGUCGAGUUCUUCCAGGGAUUUUUUUUUGAAAAGUUUUUCAAAAAUUCCUCCACAAAUUCUUCUAUGAACACCCCUAUGCUCUUUCAGGAAACCUUUAGUAAUUCACCAAAAAAACUCCUGACAUAGCUCUAAGAGUUCAUCCAAGAAUUCCUUCUGCGAUUUCCUCAGAAAUACCUCCGAAAACUGUUGAGGAAUUACGUAAAAAAUUCCUCCCGAAAUCCCUCAAGAAACUCCUUCGGGAAUCACUCCAGGAAUUCUUCCAGGAACUUUUCAGGUAUUCCUUAAUAAAUUCUUCUUGGAACUCCACCAGGAAGUCCUCCAAGAAUUCCCCAAGGAAUAUCUCCAAGAAUACAUCCAGGAAUUCCUCCAAGACAUCUGCCUAGAAUUAUUUCAAUAAUUCCUCCAGGAAUUCCUCUAAAAAAUCCUACAGGAACUUUCCCAAGAAUUUCACCAGGGGUUACUUUAAGUCUUGAACUACUGCCAAGAAUCCCUUCAGGUAUUUCGCCAGGAAUAUAUCCAAGGAUUUUUUCAACCCCAGGGAUUCCUCCGAGAAUUCUUUCAGGUUAUUCUCCAGGAACUGUUCCGAGACUUCUGCCCAGAAUUCCUCUAGAAUCUCAUCAGGAAUUUCUCCAAAAAAUUCUCCAAAAAUUCCUCCAGUAAAUUUCUCCUGGUGUUCAUCCAAAACUUCUGCUAAGAACUUCUCCAAGAAUCCGUCCAGGAAAACCUCCAGGAUAUAUUCCAGCAAGUACUCCAGUAAUUCCUUCAGGAACAUGAAUUCCUCCAAACACUCCAAAGUUUUCUCCAGGAAUUCCUCCAGGAUUUCUUUCGAGAUUUAUUCCAGGAAGUACUCCAGGAAAUCCUGCACAACUAUUCCCCUUGACUAUAUAAAAAAUCUAACUUUCAGUAUUUCACUUACACAGAAACACUUUCAGUAUUUCUACGGCGAUGAUAACGUUCUUUAAUGGGCAUUUACUUACUCAUUUAUAUCAAAAUGUGAGAAAAAUUGUAGCACUGUGGAACUCUCGUUAUUUCCAUAUGAAAGUGUGAAUGGUGCGGUUUUGAAAGACAAUUCCCACCGUCUUGAGCCAGUUUUAAAAUAUAGAACUGGAAAUAAUCACCCUGUUGCUCAAAUCUCAAAAUAUUUCACAACAUGUUCAGAUAUAGGGUGACCACUCAUCUCGGUAAAUCAAAUUCCCGGUUAUUUCUCAGCUUUUCCCGGUUUUUCUAGAACUGUUUCCCGGUUUUAAAGAAACUUAUUUAUAUGGUAAAAUCAGAACACUGACAUUUCUAUUUUCAAUUUUCUAAUUUUUCUGAAUUUGGUAAAAUGGGGAUAAAAGAAACAGUUAUUUUCACGGGCACCAUUGCAAAAGGUCCAACAAUAUAAAAAUAGGCUCCUAAAGUCCUAUCGGGAUUCUUGUUUUAAACCACAAUAUAUGGUUCAAGAGUACAUAUUUACUCAAUUUUUGACGUUUUUAUUAACCGUAGUUGAAAAUAUAUAAUUUUUAUUUUUUUAGCCUUUUGUCUCGUCCCUACACUCAAAUUAAUGCACUGAUAGAAUUUAAGUGCAGAAAGCACAUAGAUUACAAACGAGAGAGAAAAAAAUCAUUCUAUGUGCAACUGAUGAAAAUUAAAAGUUACAGUAUUAUAUUUCAUUCUUCAUGUAAUAUAUUUAGAGUGUUGCAACAUAAAAAGCAACCCUGUCAAAAUAAAAGCCAAGCACAAACAUAACAAACAAAAAAAACUAACAUGGCGCGCCAAAGGAGACACAAUCAGUCGCGGACCGAUUCGUUAGCUGUUUUUUUGAAGAAUUAUCCUGCCAUGUCAACUGUUUCUCCUCCGCACUCUUAAACGAUUCGGGAGCUGCCGGAAGCAGCUGCUACAGCGAGAUGUGCCUCUUGACCGGAUUACAGCCUGGCGGAAGCUUGAUGUGAGUUUUCCAGAGACGACGUGCUAUAUACAGACAGCUAAAGUAUGUAAUGUUAAGUAAAGUGUUAAGUUUUACAAAUAAAGUUGGUCGUAGAUGACGCAAAAUAUGGAUUUCUUUAUAUUUUUAAGCUAAUCAGCGAAUCCCACGUGGAAAUCAUUUUAUUAUUUGACAUAAUAUAAACUAUGCACCGAACAAAUGAAAACGAAUAGCGACGCACAUAAAUUCUAUCAUGAUUGAAUCGGCAAAUAUUCAAUAGCGCUGCACAUAUUUUCCAAGUGUAAAAGCAACUGGUCACAAUCUAAGUGCAGAACUUUUAAAUUUAAUAUGUUAUUUAUUCUGAGUGUAGCUUAUAACACAUACUUUGAGUGAUUUUUUUUUCACCGUGUAUGUCAGAUAGGAACAUUUUUGAAAUCCCAGUGCGAAAAAUGUCGAGCUCAGUCACACAAGGUUGACCUCAAAUGUCAAAGUAGAACUAUUUACCAUUUUACUUAUUUCGAAUUUUCUCAUUAUUCCUUUGUUUUUCAAGUUCGAGUAAAGUACAAUUCCGAUUAGAAUACCAUGCUUGAUCGUAUUAUUCAAUAUAAGCGAGAUUUCGUCUUUAAUUUUAGGACCCUAUUGCCAUGCAUCAUAAACAUCCCGAGUGAAUAAGGCUAUCAGCUUAAUGAAGCGCGUUCUAGGAGAUUAAUAAUGUAUGGCGGCUGUAAAAAAAUAGAAAUUAUCAUAUAUUUUUUUAAUUAUCAAAACAUUAACAUAAUUUUAAAAACCAUUACUGUUUAAUGUUAUGCUCUAUGCUUGAACCCUUGAACUGUUCAACCCUCAAAAUGCUAUAAAAUCAUAUGAAGGCGAUUUUUUCGUACUAGAAAUUUCUGUAUAAUGUGAAAGUAAUUUAACUUCAGUAGAAUCGCGAAUAGAACGAAAACUCAAUCAUUUCUUACUAUCAGAGGCGAUUGACCUCUGUUGUUAAAGCAUCUAUGACAGAUGUUGAGAUUGAAACACGCGACUUGCUAGAUUAUUUGUUUAUGUAUUUCAGUUUCUUCAGUGUUGCCAAUAGUAAUCAAUAAGCACAACAUAUCUCAUUUAUUUUAUCGAAAGUAGUAUACUUAGUUCUCAUACCAAGUAAUCAUCAAAACGCUUUGGAAGUCUUCUUUCACGUUGUGGUCUUUCACCCGUCAUGUUCGCAGUGCCGGAUGACACCUCCAGUUCAGCUGGUUCCGGAACAUGAGCUUCGACGUUGGAUUGCUGGAUAAAAGGCCUUACAUGUGACGUAUUCCGCUUGUACACCUGACCUUCACUUGUUUUGAGGGUGACGCUGUUUCCGAUCCUGUCGACUACUGUUGCUGGCGUUAAAAGGACUUGGAAGAUAGUUUGUUUUGUGGCAACAGAUUCUUCAUCAAAACCUGAUCCCCGACAUCGACCGGUGAUUCUCUUGCUCCGACUCUUUUAUCCCUGUUUUCCUUAGCUUGAUACUUGGCAACCCAGUCCUUGUCACGUAGUUCUCCAUCGUCCAAUGUACAGUCUUGUACGUGUGGUAUCAAAUCACGAAAACGCCGGCCAAACAUGAGAUUGGCCGGGGCCACACCUGUUGUCGAAUGAGGCGUAAUCGAGUACAUGUACAUAUAUUCUUGUAACGCCUCUUUCCAGUCAGUCCCCUUGUUCUGGCUAAUCCUCAAAACCUUCAGAAGCGACUGGUUUUGUCGUUCAGCUUCUCCGUUGGCACUCGGCCAGUAAGGUGUGGUGUGGGUCAGCUUGAUACCGCGGUCAACACAGAAGUCCUUCAAUAGUUGACUCGAAAAGUUUUUAGCGUUAUCCAAGGUAAUAACUUGCGGCAGUCCCAUUCUGGUAAAUAUUUCCUUCAGUGUGCGGAUCACGUCAUUCGAAGUUGUCUGCUUCAUAGGUUCAACGAUCAUAUACCUGCUGUACAAGUCGAUCAGUACAAACAAGUAGUAACCGUUGGGAAGUGGUCCCAAAAAAUCUCCAGCCAAAUGGACCCACGGAGCGCAAGGGAGUUCUCUGAUACGCAGCGGUUCUGGUUUGUCAAACGGUGCUACCAGCUGGCAAUCGAAACAUUCCUUACACGACUUCUGCACAUCGCCAUCGAUCCCUGGCCAUCAUACAGCUGCUCGAAGUCUUCUCUUCAUCUUCUCCUGUCCUGGGUGUCCUGUAUGUGCCAAUGCUAGCACCGUACUUCGGAGUUGUCUCGGUACCACCAGUUUGCUUUUUCUGAGCAGUACUUCAUUCGCAAAACAUAGUUCCGACUUGAAUGGUGCAUAGUUUUUGAUAGUUUCGAUCCAGUUGUCAUUGUGCAGCGCUCUCUUUACUUGCUGUGUUUCAACGUCCUCUUGAGAACACCGAGCAAUCUCGUCGAAGGUUACCGCAGAUGGUUUGUUGACUUCCACAAUGGAGCAAAGGACCCUUUCCGCUUCCUUGUCGAAAGUUCUUGCGUUCGCCACUUCGGAUAAUCUAGAGAAAGGAUCCGCAAUAUUCAGCUCACCUGGAACAUGGCGUAUAGUGUACCGAUAGGACUGCAUUCGCAAUACCCAUCUUUCUUGGCGUUGGUUUGGAAUGGAAGAA